rnacentral:rRNA from 1 species
AUUGAACGCUGGCGGAAUGCUUUACACAUGCAAGUCGAACGGCAGCACGGACUUCGGUCUGGUGGCGAGUGGCGAACGGGUGAGUAAUACAUCGGAACGUGCCCAGUCGUGGGGGAUAACGUAGCGAAAGCUACGCUAAUACCGCAUACGAUCUACGGAUGAAAGCGGGGGACCGUAAGGCCUCGCGCGAUUGGAGCGGCCGAUGUUAGAUUAGGUAGUUGGUGGGGUAAAGGCUCACCAAGCCGACGAUCUAUAGCUGGUCUGAGAGGAUGAUCAGCCACACUGGGACUGAGACACGGCCCAGACUCCUACGGGAGGCAGCAGUGGGGAAUUUUGGACAAUGGGCGCAAGCCUGAUCCAGCCAUUCCGCGUGCAGGACGAAGGCCUUCGGGUUGUAAACUGCUUUUGUACAGAACGAAAAGCCUUGGGUUAAUACCCUGGGGUCAUGACGGUACUGUAAGAAUAAGCACCGGCUAACUACGUG